UGGGGAAUUUUGGACAAUGGGGGAAACCCUGAUCCAGCCAUCCCGCGUGUGCGAUGAAGGCCUUCGGGUUGUAAAGCACUUUUGGCAGGAAAGAAACGUCGCGGGUUAAUACCCCGCGAAACUGACGGUACCUGCAGAAUAAGCACCGGCUAACUACGUGCCAGCAGCCGCGGUAAUACGUAGGGUGCAAGCGUUAAUCGGAAUUACUGGGCGUAAAGCGUGCGCAGGCGGUUCGGAAAGAAAGAUGUGAAAUCCCAGAGCUUAACUUUGGAACUGCAUUUUUAACUACCGGGCUAGAGUGUGUCAGAGGGAGGUGGAAUUCCGCGUGUAGCAGUGAAAUGCGUAGAUAUGCGGAGGAACACCGAUGGCGAAGGCAGCCUCCUGGGAUAACACUGACGCUCAUGCACGAAAGCGUGGGGAGCAAACAGGAUUAGAUACCCUGGUAGUCCACGCCCUAAACGAUGUCAACUAGCUGUUGGGGCCUUCGGGCCUUGGUAGCGCAGCUAACGCGUAAGUUGACCGCCUGGGGAGUACGGUCGCAAGAUU
rnacentral:rRNA from 1 species